UUCGGCACAAGUUAGUUCAAUAACAACAGCAUAUUAUUGAUACAACUUGCAGUCAGAAGUCAUCGACAGAUGGAAGUGUGUGAAUACUGAAUUGUAUAAGGAUAGCAACAUAAAAGUCUAUCAUUAAGAUGGUUCUAGUUAACAUUCUUCGAUCAAGGUUUCAAACACUGCUAUCAUUCAUAAGUAUUUCAAACACUGCUGUCCAGGACCAACGAUUUGCAAAACGAAUUAAUUUGUAGUCAUUGUCCUGUGCUUCUAGGUCCACAAGACCCCUUAACAAUCUUGGGCUGUUAGACUAGUUCCAGCAUUCUGUGAAUAAAGCUAGGGGUAAGAAAGACCGUGUUUGGAUCCUUCACCAGGAAUCAGCUUUGCCUUGCCGGGUGAGAAUCAACAGAAGAGAUAAGUGUUUGGUGGACAAGCUAGCUGCCUAGGGGCUUGUGCAGGCAAGGAAAAUCCUUGCUACAACCAGGUCCAGCUCGCUCAGCCAGGCAAGGUUAUUGGGCCUUGUACUAGUGAGGCUAGGCGCCUCAGAAUCCAAACGUGUCCUUUAUCUACUGCAUUAUUUCGCAACAAGAAUUUAUUUCACAUGCAAUACCAAAUGUUGACCCAUGUAGCUUCAUACUCUCAGUACAUAGGAGGUGAAUUAUAAUGGCCAUGAAAGAGCUAAUCACAUUCAUCAUGCAAGAUAAACUUGCAACUAUAUGACAAGACAGCUUGCUGAACUGGAAGCUAUAAUGUAAAUACAAGCAGCUAGACAGUUUUCUAACUCUGAGCCAUUACGAGAAUCGAUUUUAACAUGUUUCUGAUAAUAUAAAAUCUGGAUGCAGUAAGUUAGUGAGUACCACUACACAUGCAUAUUUAAACCAGAAAAAUCUGC
rnacentral:lncRNA from 1 species